GGGUGGGGGUGAGGGAAUUUGCCAUGUGCGCUUUUUCAUUUAUUUUUGUUGUUCUUCUAGUUUAUUAAUUUUUUUGGUGGUGUUCUUGUUAGGUGACUUUUCGUGUAUAAUCUCAAAAAUGUUACUUUAUGCUUUGUCUCCAAUAUGAAGGAUGUCUGAAUGCAUGAGGCUCCUAUAUUGUGGGCUCCGGGGAGGUUUAGAUGUAGGUAACAUUCCUCUUGCAUUGUAAGGAGGCUCUUUUCAUGCUUUUAACCUGUACCUUUUAGAACAAUAUAGAACCAAAAUUUCUUUUAGGUUACAAGACUAAGCUGGGAGUUGUCUUCUUUAUAUUUUUCUCUUUCUGGCAUAAGAAAAGAAAUUUUAGCUUCUCGAAUUAUUUUAUUGGUUUGGUGAUUGAAAGUGCUAAACAGCAGCAUAGUACCAGCGGUAGCUGCAAUGAUGCAUGACAUGUGAAAUGUCAUGGUCUUAUUUUUUAGUGUCAACAAUAUAAAAAAUAAUAGGAAAUAAAAUGAUUGCAGAUUAUUUUCUAAUCAGUGAUCAGUGUGCAACUGCUUAUGAAAAUAUCCAACGAAUUCUGAUGGGUUUCUUUGUUCCUAUUGCUGUAUUUGUAUUGAAAAUGUCUUGACAAUAAAAUUUCUUGUGAGUUGCUUUAAAAAGAGAGGUGUUUUCUUCUCUCUAAAUGGUUACCUCAUCAUAAUUGACAUGCACACAUUAUUUAAUGGAAGUUAGCAAGACAUUUAUGUGCUAUUCGUGGUUGGUAUAUUAAGCUAGCUAUUUGGACCUAAAACUCAAAUGUAUGCCGAUGCAUGGUAUAUGCUAUAAGCCUAUGACUUGGUUUUAGAGAACCAGGGUGUGGUUUUGACAUUAAUGCAUGCGUUGUUGGAACCUGAAAUGCCCUUACAUAAAAAUUUGUUGAGAAUAAUAAAUAGAUAUAUGUAGGUAAAAUGAGAUGGACUCAUUUUGAGUAUUCUCUCUCUUUUCCAGCUUGACUUUGUGAAUGGGGAAAGUUAGUAAGGUGAAGUGCAAGGCUGAUUCCCAGCGUCGCAGAGUGACUCCAUAUCCUUUGCCAUCUUGCCCAAGGAAAAGUGCCGAAGAUUGCCACUCAAAGAAGAAACAUUCAAAAGCCUUGGAGAAGAGUGAAUGGAAAGGUGCAACCUGUUCUGUUUGUCUGGAAUUUCCUCACAAUGCAGUGCUCCUUCUUUGUUCCUCUUAUAACAAGGGUUGUCACCCAUAUAUGUGUGCCACUGGUCGUCGAUUUUCCAAUUGUCUUGGGCAGUACAAAAAAGCCUAUACUAAAGUAACUUCAACUGAAGAGACGCAACAAUUGAACAGGUCUGCAGACAAUUCAAGUUUCCAUUUGGGAGCUGGGGAGGCUAAUGAGAAGAUGCAAGUUCCAGAGCUUUUAUGCCCGCUCUGUCGGGGUCAGGUGAAGGGUUGGACAGUGGUGGAACCAGCCCGGAAGUAUCUCAAUGCCAAAAAAAGAACCUGCAUGCAAGAUAAGUGCUCAUUUGUUGGAACUUACAAACAGCUCAGGAAGCAUGUUAAGGCCAAGCACCCAUUGGCACGACCCCGAGCUGUGGACCCUGUUCUUGAAGAAAAAUGGAAGAAGCUUGAAUGUGAGAGAGAGCGAAAUGAUGUAAUCAGCACAAUUAUGUCGUCAACUCCAGGGGCUGUGGUGCUGGGGGAUUAUGUGAUUGAGCCAGGCCGACAUGGCUUUUUUAAUGAUUAUGAUUAUGAUUCGGAUGAGUCUCUGGAUGAUCGUUUCUUUCCUUUGGGAUCCUUUAAUCGAGGACAGAGUAGUGGUCAUUAUCGCAAUGGAUUUCACCUAGAUUUUGACUCAUUGGAUGAGGAUGACUAUGGGUUGCGUCGUCCUGGGGCUACUGGUCCUGCAGCACUCUCUGGGCGUGGUCUCCACAGAUUACUGCUGACAAGGGCUAGGAGACCUUGGAGGUUUAGAGGAGGCAAUAGGGGUCAAAAUUACUGAUUAAAAAAAGGUUGGAGGACUUUAAGUUAUUAUAAACUGUUUGUUCUAGAUUUACUUUUCACUGCCAUCAUAUGCCACAGGUGAUGGUUGCCACUGCUGUGUUCCCCUGAUGUGGUAUAAUGUGAUUGGCAACUGGAAAGUGAUUUCAAUAAGUAGUAGGGAUAGCAGUUUAGAGGGUCUUUUUCUAGGUGAUUUAGUCGUGACGAGGGCCAAGGCAUUUUAUUGGUCUGUUUCCUUCUAGUUUUAUGAUUUGACUGUCAUUUGAUCAUCGCAUAUUCAUUUGAAUUGAGAUGAUAUGAUCAGAGACGUUCUUGAUAUGUUUGUUCUGGAGAUGCUCUUUUCUUUAUUCUUAUGGUCGAUAAUUAUGUGGGAAAUUUUAUGUUAUAUACAGUAUGAAGAAAAAUAUUUGGUCAAUAAAGUUAUUAAAAU
rnacentral:misc_RNA from 1 species